rnacentral:lncRNA from 1 species
AAAAGGAGGCAUACUCCUAGGCCUCCAACGCCGCGUCAAUCCAGUUCACCAAAGUCCUUUACGAAAUCCCCUCCACCACCUUCUUCAAAGUCUUCGCCUUCCACUAGAUCACAUCCUCCACCACCACCGUCAUCCCACUCUUCACCAAUGCCUCCUUUCCAUUCCCCACCGUCGCCACCACCACCGAAUUACUCUCACUCUUUAACUCCACCACCCCCGACUCAAAGAGUGUCACCAAAGACGCAUCUUCCACUGCCACCUCCGCCUGUUCACUACGAGCCCAUACAAUCUCCACCUCCACCACCAAUGGUACAACCACCUGCACCAGCCCCAUCAGGCCAUUACUAUAGUGCACCACCACCACCAAACCGUUACUCCAACGCCCCACCACCAAGCCAUUACCACAAUACACCACCCUCACCACCAAUGGAGCAACCACCUCGAACUCCAUCAGGCCAUUACUAUAAUAAUCCACCACCACCACCACAAUCACCAAACCAUUACUACAACAUACCUUCGCCACCACCACCAACAAAGAAUAUAUCACCAAGUACCCAUUAUGCACCACCUCCUCCCCCAUCUGUUCAUUAUGUUCCCACGCCUAGUCAUUCAUCUCCUCCACCGCCGCCACCUCAAGUUCAGUAUUUUCCACCUCCUUAUCCGUCAAGAGGGCAGCAAGCAAGUCCACCUCCACCACCAUCUCAUGAGCAUACGGGGACUCAAUCUCCACCUCCACCAGCAGAGUAUCAUCCACCUCCCAAGGAGUCAUGUCAUCCUAUCCCUCCUCCACCCCCACCAGAAUGCACAACUCCCGUAUCAGCACCACCACCGCCAAGCCAACAUUCAACCCCAUCACCAUAUGCACCAGCACCUGGUCAUCACUAUUCAAAACCAUCCCCACCUCCUAAACAACAAUGGCAUUAUCCACCAUCCCCACAACAUCAAAACCCUUCUCCCCCACCCCCACCCCCGCCAACCCACUAUGCGUAUACAUUCCCACCGCCACCACCAUCUCCUUCUCCACCGCCACCCUCAUUUGAAAAUACGCCACUCCCACCAAUUAGAGGAGUAUCAUACGCAUCUCCUCCUCCGCCAGUUAUUCCCUACUACUAAAGAACUGCUUUUGCACGACAUUGAGUUGUAGUUCAAAAUCUUCAGGUGCAACCAUGAUGGCAUGUUAACCUGCGUGUUGUUUCUUCAGCUUUUUUGAGAACUAUUUUUUCCCCUAAAUAUAUAAUAACUUAAUAUUUUAUUUGUAUUGUCUUUUUUAUUUCCUUUGUAUUGUUCUGCUAAUAUAUGUGGUAAUGUAUACAGGUAAUGAUUUGAAUAAUUUGUAGACACAACAUUACAUUUUUCUUCGC